AACGCACAUUGCGCCCCUUGGUAUUCCGGGGGGCAUGCCUGUUCGAGCGUCAUUAUAACCCUCAAGCCUAGCUUGGUGUUGGGGCAUGCCUUUGGGCAGCCCUUAAAAUCAGUGGCAGUGCCUAUCGGCUCUAAGCGUAGUAAUUUCUCUCGCUAUAGGGUCCGGUGGAACACGCGCCAGAACCCCCAACUUUCUAUGGUUGACCUCGGAUCAGGUAGGGAUACCCGCUGAACUUAA
rnacentral:misc_RNA from 1 species